AGCGAACGCUGGCGGAAGGCCUAACACAUGCAAGUCGAACGAACUCUUCGGAGUUAGUGGCGGACGGGUGAGUAACACGUGGGAACGUGCCUUUUGGUUCGGAAUAACUCAGGGAAACUUGUGCUAAUACCGAAUGUGCCCUUCGGGGGAAAGAUUUAUCGCCAUUAGAGCGGCCCGCGUCUGAUUAGCUAGUUGGUGAGGUAACGGCUCACCAAGGCGACGAUCAGUAGCUGGUCUGAGAGGAUGACCAGCCACACUGGGACUGAGACACGGCCCAGACUCCUACGGGAAGCAGCAGUGGGGAAUCUUGCGCAAUGGGCGAAAGCCUGACGCAGCCAUGCCGCGUGAAUGAUGAAGGUCUUAGGAUUGUAAAAUUCUUUCACCGGGGACGAUAAUGACGGUACCCGGAGAAGAAGCCCCGGCUAACUUCGUG
rnacentral:rRNA from 1 species